AAAGUGUGCUCACAACAGUGACCUUAUGCCACAGAAAUAGAGCAGAAUGCCAUUUUAAAGUCAAUUGUGCUGAAGGUCUAAAAACUUAGUCCACAAUAUGAAGCUUCUGAGAUGUGGAGUGUGGAUGUGACAGCAGAAGAUCAUCGCUGAUUCACCAUUGAAUUGUUUGAUACACCAAAUAUCCAACUUCAAUCGAAAGAAGCAAGUGAGCCUCAUAAAAUGGUCCUUUAUAGGUGCCGUUGCUCACCUUCAUGAAUGUUUUCAGCUUGGCUGAUAUGUACCUCCUCCUUUCUUGCUGCACUGAGAACAAACAUCACCAGGCUGCCUAAUAAUGAGCAGCUGCUUCCCUGAGACUACAGAUGAAGAAGUCAGUGUGAAAAGUAUUGCCCUUCCUCCCACAUGGGCACAUACCAGAAGUGACACACCUACUGAUGUUAUUGUGCUGGCACAGCCCACCCUUGGCAAAUGGACAGGAAAACACCACAACAAAAAUAAGAAUUUUAGACUGCUGUUUGUUCCCCUGGCCUCACAGCAGCAUUGGCUUCCUCACCGCCAGAGCCAGACAAAAGCUGCCAUGGAGCAGAGCAGACAGCAUAUUGAGUAAUGGAGCUGCUUGCUUCUGAAGAGCCGGACCUCAUCCAUAAUUCAGAGUUGCCUUUUCCUCCAUGCCUUUGUCUGCCACUCCAAACAAGAAGGUGCAUCUACCCUGCAUUUCCAGUAGCGAACAGUGUUUGGUGAUGUUGACCAAUUAUUUGCACUGCCCCAAAGGAAACUGGGAAAAUCAUCUUUGGAAGCACACAGAUUCUGCUUCCUGUCACCAGAAAGGUUACUUUCUUUAGUCUCUGAAGGCUUUGGUGGAUCAAUUAUUUUGCAUGGGAAAAUAGAUUAGAAACAUGCCAUCAGGUACACUGUGCACAAGACAGACAGAUGGAGACAGUAGUAUCUAUCUGCUAUAGGGAAUUGUCAGAGGGGCACAACUCAUUGCACUGGUUCUUAGAGGGCUUAAUUUGCUGCUGGUAAAUAAUCUAUUUUUUAUUACCUCACAUCCCCAGAUUGUCAACAUGCUCAGCUUUUUGCCACAGCUAAUUAGACAGGCAAAAGCCUCAUAGCCUAAAGAACAAGCCUGAGCUAAGCACCUGCCAAAAUAUCUGACUUUUUUUAAGAACUGGAAUGUCAAAGAGUGAAGGGGCUGCAGAUCACAUUUAAACGCUUUGAGCAUCAAUAAGAUGAUUAGACCCAUGAGGCAAACGUUCAGAAUUUCUCUUAGGCUCACCACUGAGAGAAGGCAAGAUAAAACACUGAUAGAUAAAAACUACUGUGCAACGGUACCAAAGCUAAUUAUUCUGCUGAACUCUUGGAGAAAUCUUGCAGGGAUGUGUUGACAUCAUGCUCUGUGUGGCCACUUCUGUUCAGGAAAGCAAUAUUUAAUUCCAUAUUUGAAUGAAGUCUCUUUGUGUAAAGAAGAGCUUUCAGAAAGGAAUUUGUCUGAACCAAAACAAAGAAUGACCUUGCAAUUAGCCAGGCAUGGCAGAUUUGGCAGAGAGCAGGGGCCUUUUAUUCCUUUUUAUGGUGUUUUUUGUUUGUUUUUCCCAUCCAUCAUUUAAAAAUCCUGUUUUUGAACAAUGAACAUAGGAGUUUUUCCAAAGAGCUCUGCACCAAGGACAAAACGCACCGAAUGAUGCCACUGUAUCAAGCAUGGCAUGAUUAAGGUAUGCAUGCAAAUAGCAGCAAAGGUAUCCUUGCAGUCUCUGUAUAUUCUCAAGGGACAGACUAGCAGUGUUAACAUUGCUGUGUCUCCGUGCCCCACUGUCUCGGUGUGCUGCCCAAGGCUGGCUUUCACACAGUGUAGUGACUGUAGCCCAUGCUGCCUGAAGCACCGUGUGGUUUUCCCCACUAAAGAAACAACUUGUUCUUCAAGAUCAGGAGAAUCUAUAGUCUAUCUAUGUAUCUAUAAAAUGAAUAAGUUAUACAGUAUUCAUAUGUUUGGAGGAAGAGUUUGGGUAGAGACAAUGGAGAGUAAAAAUGGCUGCCAGGUUCUCAAGACCCGAAUGGUAAUUGAGCUUAGUAGGACUGUCACUACUUAAAUCGAGUGGUGCAGUCAGGCUAUAGACUACUUUUGACUUUCCAUGGUUAUGAGCCCUAACACAUAUUUGUGCCUUGGGAAGUCGUCCCAGAAUUUGCUGACUUGUGAUUUUUCAUCAGGGACCCUGCUCCCUCAGUUAAAGUGAAUAACCUGCUUUCUCCUUAUAUUAAGUUUUAAUGCGAUAACUUUUUGGACUUUCAUGUUUCUGAUAUUGCAGAGGUGGAGACAGAAUGGAGUUCAAGCAAGGAAAGUCAAUAUAUAUCAUCUGCCCACAGUGAAGUAUAAGCAUUCACCAGCUAAUGUCAUAUAUUAUUCGAUGAUAUUGGUGUUGCUGGAAGAAAACUCUAGGACUGAAAAUAGUAAGGAUAAAAAACUGGCAGACUGUGUGAUUUCUUCUGAUUGAAUGCAAGGUGAUAAAUUUCUUUUGGCUCCAUUUAUAGUCAUAGUCUUGUUUUAUAUGGAUUUACUGUUCUUAAAAAAAAAAAAAAUCAACUCCAAAUAAUUUAGGGAUACAAGAGAACCCACUCUACUCUGUCAAUGGCUUUCCAAGUAGCAAAAUUUAAGGUAGCUCUUUCUUAUUGUCCUCAACACUGAAAAUGUUCUCUCCACUAUGUAACUUCAGUAAUUUCUAACUACAGAGAUUUCAUAUAUUCUGAAACCAGCAACACCUUGAGAAAUGGAUUAAACCUUCUCUCUUGUAUGAAAUAACUCUGCUUCAAGCUCCAUCUCCAACACAAGACCACCGUAUUGUUCACAGAGGGAUCACUUAAGCAGAGUUUAGGGUUAUAUCACCCAGACUAUGCAUAGGGAAUCAUUUUUUACCAUAUAUGUACAGCUGAUGUUUUAUGGUAACCCUAUUCUGCCACUGCAUAAGAGUCUUUCACACAGUAUAUAAUUUGGGUACUGCUAGACAUUGCAGGGUAUCUACACAGUUUGUUCUAUAGGUGGACUACAAAAUCUCCUAUUGAGGAGGGGGGCAGUAGGAGAGCAGCUGGGUGGGUGCCUGGCAACUGUCCGGGGUCAACCUAGCACACAUGGGUCCCUCUAUCUGCAUGGUCAUGAUUGAGAAGAAAAGCCAAAAUGCUGAAAUUUUUCUUUCAUUUUCCUACGUUUAGGGUGAAAUCAUAUUUAACACUUCUGGUUGUUGUUGUUUACCUGAAUUUUCAAAAUUCAAGUUGUCUGUUUCCCUGUUUUCUAUUGCAAGGAAAUGAGUGAAUUCUUGUAAUUAUUCCUUUCUCUGUUAGUUAUUUUGUAGUAUUUUCUCUCCUAGGCAGAAAUGUCAGUUACAAAGUGGCAGAGCUCUGCAGCCGUGGUCUGGUUUUACCAUUUGAAGUUUUUACUUCCGCUGAGAAAGCAUGAAGAUUCCCAAAGCAAUGAUGUAAAAAUGAAGGUGAGCGGUGAACAGGCUAAACUAAAAUUGGACAUUGCAUUGUAUGCCCAUAGCAGAAAAAGGAAGUUAAAAUUACUAAAACAAAAGACAUUGUGGCCAGUCUCAGCUUGCAUUGUUUCCAGCUCUGGUUCUAAAAGUCUGGCUAAUGCCUUUCUUCAUUCAAGACAAGGUCUGUUUGAGAUUAGGACAAUAGUGAGUUGGGCAUAGUAUGUCACGCACAGGUGUCAGAGUUUCCUUUGAGAAGUACCUCACCCACAUGGGAAGUUACAGCAAAGGGUGGGAAAGGAAUUAGUAGAAACUGAGGCAAGGAGCUGAAGUGGUCCUGCUCUCUCUCUCUUUCACUCGUGCAUGAUUAUAUAUGCACACAAACACCCCCAUAUACAUAGAUGGUCUUUCAUCCUUCCUGGUCUGUUUUCCACAGACUGCUCUGUCAACCUUUUUCCUUCUUUUAAUUAAUUAAACAUUUCACAUAUCCAGUGAGAUUUCUAAGGCUGACCAUGGCUUGUUGUGUGAUCAACGUUGAGCUGCAUGGUUUCCCCGCAGGUGCUGAUGUUCCCGCAGAGGUGUUGCAGUGCUGCCGGUGUGCUUGCAUAAAGAGCUCAGCUGUGGGCCUGUGUUCAGAUUACACACAGGGAGCCAAAGCAACAAUUUAUACAGUAGUCUCUGAUGCACUUCCACCUUUCCUGGCAGUCAGGUUAAGCCAUUUCAGGAAUCGCAGCCUUGGCAGGGCAAUCACUCAGUUUUCUGGUUCCCCUAGCCCGAAAUGCAUUCCCUGUCUGCCAAGACUUGAGAGAAAUGCAUCCAUAAUCCACUGCUCCUGUUUAUAGGAACAAAGCUUGCUUUACUUUACUUGAAUUUGAAUAAAGGUAUUUGCACAUCCCCGUUGAAUUUUUUCCACCUGUAUUUUUAUCCAUAACAGACUGUCUCUAUACUAGCAGUGACUGAUCAAUUGUUUGGGGGUUGUUUGUUUUCAAGGCAACGCGUGGGUGAUUCUCGAUUCUCUCCUGUAGCAGAGCAUGCUGUUAUCAAUAUGUUACUUUCUUUUCACUGGGAACAUAGCUUUCAGAAGGCAUGUAAAAUAAAUGGGUUCUGUUUUAAUUCAA